rnacentral:rRNA from 1 species
AACGAACGCUGGCGGCAGCUUAACACAUGCAAGUCGAACGCUCCGCAAGGAGAGUGGCAGACGGGUGAGUAACGCGUGGGAACCUUCCUAUUGGUUUGGAAUAGCUCAGGGAAACUUGGGGUAAUACCGGAUAAGCCCUACGGGGGAAAGAUUUAUCGCCAAUAGAUGGGCCCGCGUCUGAUUAGCUAGUUGGUGAGGUA